rnacentral:rRNA from 1 species
UAAGGAAUAUUGCUCAAUGGGAGAAAUCCUGAAGCAGCAACGCCGCGUGGAGGAUGAAGGGUCUAUGACUUGUAAACUCCUGUAAAGAAGGAAAAAAUUCCCAUUAGAUGGGAGAUGAUGGUACUUCUGGAGUAAGCCCCGGCUAACUACGUGCCAGCAGCCGCGGUAAUACGUAGGGGGCAAGCAUUGUCCGGAUUUACUGGGUGUAAAGGGUGCUCAGGCGGAUUUGUAAGUCAGAGGUGAAAUCUUACAGCUUAACUGUGAAACUGCCUUUGAUACUGCAAGCCUAGAGUAUGGAAGAGAGUGAUGGAAUAUCUGGUGUAGCAGUGAAAUGCGUAGAUAUCUGAUAGAACACCAAUGGCGAAGGCAGUCACUUGGUCCAUUACUGACGCUAAAGCACGAAAGCGUGGGUAGCAAA